UAACUACAAAAAUCACUAGAUUAAACAGUAAGAUAUAUGAAUAAAAAAUAUAUCAAAGUCUGGAAAAAAGUAUUCUAAAACCGAUAAAAAUGGCACUUAUGUAUAGAUUUAAAUACUCUAUCAGUGGUAGAGGAGCAUUGUAUUAGGGAAGAAGCCUAAGCGAAAGCAAGUGUGGACUUAAUACAAGAGAGAAUGCUGGCAUGAGUAGCGAGAAGGAGUGUGAGAAUCACUCCCGUCGAAACCCUAAGGACUCCUGAGCAAGGCUCGUCCCCUCAGGGAAAGUCGGGACCUAAGGCAAGGCCUAAAGGCGUAGCCGAUGGAUAACAGGUUUAUAUUCCUGUACCGCUUAAAGUCGCAAUAAGAGACGUGAUGACGCAAGAGGAUAAACUAUCUGCCCGAUGGAAGGCAGUCUAAGCACAAAGGCCGAUUAGUAGGCAAAUCCGCUAAUCAUAAAGCUGAUGUGUGAUAGGUAUCGAAAACAUGAGUAGAGAAGUAGUCGAUUUCAAAUUGCCAAGAAAAGUCACUAUCAAGACAAAAGCGCCCGUACCAAAACCGACACAGGUAGGGAGGUAGAGAAUACCAAGACGCGCGGAAGAACCUUUGUUAAGGAACUCGGCAAAAUGUCCCCGUAACUUCGGGAGAAGGGGAGCCAGAGCGAUCUGGCCACAGAAACCAGGCCCAAGCGACUGUUUACCAAAAACACAAGUUUCUGCAAAAUCGAAAGAUGAAGUAUAGGAGCUGACACCUGCCCGGUGCUGGAAGGUUAAGGGGAAGGCUUAGCAUAAGCGAAGGCUAGAACUUAAGCCCCAGUAAACGGCGGCCGUAACUAUAACGGUCCUAAGGUAGCGAAAUUCCUUGUCGGGUAAGUUCCGACCCGCACGAAAGGUGUAACGAUUUGGGCACUGUCUCAACAAAGGAUCCGGUGAAAUUGUAGUAGUCGUGAAGAUGCGACUUACCCACGCUAGGACGGAAAGACCCCGUGGAGCUUUACUGUAGGCUGAUAUUGGAUUUUGAGAUUAGACGUACAGGAUAGUUGGGAGACAAAGAAACUUGCACGCCAGUGUAGGUUGAGUCAACCUUGGGAUACCAACCCUCUAAUAUCAAAAUUCUAACAUUGACCCCUAAUCGGGGCAAAGGACAUUGUCAGUCGGGCAGUUUGACUGGGGCGGUCGCCUCCCAAAAAGUAACGGAGGCGUUCAAAGGUUCGCUCAGAAUGGACGGAAACCAUUCGAAGAGUACAAAGGCAAAAGCGAGCUUAACUGCGAGAGAUACAUCUCAAGCAGAGUAGAAAUACGGACUUAGUGAUCCGGUGGCACCGCAUGGAAGGGCCAUCGCUCAACGGAUAAAAGCUACCCCGGGGAUAACAGGCUUAUCUCCCCCAAGAGUCCACAUCGACGGGGAGGUUUGGCACCUCGAUGUCGGCUCGUCUCAUCCUGGGGCUGAAGUAGGUCCCAAGGGUUGGGCUGUUCGCCCAUUAAAGAGGCACGCGAGCUGGGUUCAGAACGUCGUGAGACAGUUCGGUCCCUAUCCAGCGUGGGCGUAAGAAAUUUGAGAGGACCUGUCCUUAGUACGAGAGGACCGGGAUGGACAUACCACUGGUGUACCAGUUGUUCCGCCAGGAGCAUAGCUGGGUAGCUAAGUAUGGCACUGAUAAGUACUGAAAGCAUCUAAGUACGAAGCAACCCUCAAGAUAAGAUUUCUAAGAGUACGUAAAGAAAAUACGUUUGAUAGGUCCAAGGUGUAAGUGCAGUAAUGUAUUAAGCUAAUGGAUACUAAACUUUAAAUCUUGACUGG
rnacentral:rRNA from 1 species